UGCCAAGUGCCUCGGGACCAAACAGACU
rnacentral:piRNA from 1 species